rnacentral:rRNA from 1 species
AUUGAACGCUGGCGGCAUGCUUUACACAUGCAAGUCGAACGGUAACAGGUCUUCGGAUGCUGACGAGUGGCGAACGGGUGAGUAAUGCAUCGGAACGUGCCCAGUCGUGGGGGAUAACGCAGCGAAAGCUGCGCUAAUACCGCAUACGAUCUAUGGAUGAAAGCGGGGGACCGUAAGGCCUCGCGCGAUUGGAGCGGCCGAUGUCAGAUUAGGUAGUUGGUGGGGUAAAGGCUCACCAAGCCAACGAUCUGUAGCUGGUCUGAGAGGACGACCAGCCACACUGGAACUGAGACACGGUCCAGACUCCUACGGGAGGCAGCAGUGGGGAAUUUUGGACAAUGGGCGCAAGCCUGAUCCAGCAAUGCCGCGUGCAGGAAGAAGGCCUUCGGGUUGUAAACUGCUUUUGUACGGAACGAAACGGUCUGGG